rnacentral:rRNA from 1 species
UACGUAGGGGGCAAGCGUUGUCCGGAAUUAUUGGGCGUAAAGCGUCCGCAGGCGGCUUUUUAAGUCUGUUGUCAAAGCCCACAGCUCAACUGUGGAUCGGCAAUGGAAACUGGGAAGCUAGAGUGUGGUAGGGGUAGAGGGAAUUCCUGGUGUAGCGGUGAAAUGCGUAGAGAUCAGGAAGAACACCGGUGGCGAAAGCGCUCUGCUGGACCUUAACUGACACUGAGGGACGAAAGCUAGGGGAGCGAAUGGG